AGCUGCAGAAAGGCCAAAAUGAUCUUCUAAUGAAUCAGACGAAAGAGUGUGGGCAUCGAUAUCAUAGCAGCUCAUUGGUCUCAGGAGGUGUUCCCAGAUCUUUAAGAGGAGCGAGGACUGUACAGGACAAGGGUGUUCAGCUUCCCUCCUGAAUCCUGCAGUUGAUGUUACUCCUGUCCAGCUCUCUCAGACUAGAGGACUUGGACUGAGAACUGGGCGAGCUUCACACAUUCUCUCUGACAUGUUACAGCCACUUCC